rnacentral:misc_RNA from 1 species
GAUGAAGAACGUAGCGAAAUGCGAUACUUGGUGUGAAUUGCAGAAUCCCGCGAAUCAUCGAGUUUUUGAACGCAAGUUGCGCCCGAAGCCAUUCGGCCGAGGGCACGUCUGCCUGGGUGUCACGCAUCGUUGCCCCCCCAAACUCCGGUUCGGGCGGGGCGGAAGUUGGCCUCCCGUGCGUGCCUGCGCGCGCGGUUAGCCCAAAAGCGCGUCCUCGGCGACGAGCGCCACGACAAUCGGUGGUUUUUUUACCCUCGUUCCUCGUCGUGCGUGCCCCGUCGCCCGAACGCGCUCUUGCGACCCUUACGCGUCGCCUCGGCGGCGCUCCCAACGCGACCCCAGGUCAGGCGGGACUACCCGCUGAGUUUAAGCAUAUCAAUAAGCGGAGGA